GAUGAACGCUAGCGGCAGGCUUAAUACAUGCAAGUCGAGGGGCAGCAUGAAUGUAGCAAUACAUUUGAUGGCGACCGGCAAACGGGUGCGGAACACGUACACAACCUUCCUAUAAGUGGGGAAUAGCCCAGAGAAAUUUGGAUUAAUACCCCGUAACAUAAUGAUGUGGCAUCACAUUAUUAUUAUAGCUACGGCGCUUAUUGAUGGGUGUGCGGCUGAUUAGAUAGUUGGCGGGGUAACGGCCCACCAAGUCUACGAUCAGUAGCUGAUGUGAGAGCAUGGUCAGCCACACUGGCACUGGGACACGGGCCCGACUCCUACGGGAGGCAGCAGUAAGGAAUAUUGGUCAAUGGACGCAAGUCUGAACCAGCCAUGCCGCGUGAAGGAUUAAGGUCCUCUGGAUUGUAAACUUCUUUUAUCUGGGACGAAAAAAGGCUAUUCUUAGUCACUUGACGGUACCAGAUGAAUAAGCACCGGCUAACUCCGUGCCAGCCGCCGCCGUAAGAC
rnacentral:rRNA from 1 species